rnacentral:rRNA from 1 species
UACGGAGGGUGCAAGCGUUAUCCGGAUUCACUGGGUUUAAAGGGAGCGCAGGCGGAUUUGUAAGUCAGUGGUGAAAGGCCUUAAGCUUAACUUGGGAACUGCCAUUGAUACUAUAAGUCUUGAAUGUUUGUUGAGGUUUGCGGAAUGGGUCAUGUAGCGGUGAAAUGCAUAGAUAUGACCCGGAACACCUAUUGCGAAGGCAGCAGGCUAAACAAAUAUUGACGCUGAGGCUCGAAAGCGUGGGGAUCAAACAGG